GAUGUUUUCUGGGGGAACUGGGGCGCGUGGGCGCGUUAAGUUAUAGGGAAACCCCCAAUUCCUGAGACGUGGAUGAGGGUGUAUUCUAGUCUGUGGUUCCGAAGCCAUCCAUGAUUCGCUGUGAGCUCCCCACCCCUGUGCUGGAAGGCGCCAAGUUCUUUAGACCUGUGGCCUCCAGGUCCUCUGCGGGAAACAUCCUUUGUCUGACCAAGUCCUACAUGUCAAUCACCGGCAAUUCGGACGCCACCUCCUCCAGGAAAUUUCCCUGGAUCUGCAGAAAGUUACUCCUUCCCUGAGGAUGGAUGUCAGUUGCUGGGUUCGUGCACCUUCCUUGUGCCUUCUGUCCCACCAGACUAUGGUCCAAAUAUCAGAUCCUUUAACUCCCCUAUGAGCCCCUCCAGUGCGAUCUUCCGCGUAAGUCCUGGAACUAUGUAGACCAGGCUGGCUCUAAAUUCAGAGUUCCAUUUGGUUCUGCCUCCUGAGUACUGAGAAAGGACUAAAGGUGUGGCCUCCACACCCGAUGCAAAUCCCAAGAGUUGCUGGAUAGCCGGGCUACAGAGA
ensembl:processed_transcript predicted gene 15545